CUCACAUCUAGUUGGAAGGCCAUGCAACUGCAAGGGAGGCUGGGAACUUAAGGAGAGAAUAAAUUGUGGUGGAUGGCAGGGGCUUCUGUUAUAGACAAUUUUUAUUGUAUAUUUGUUAAUUUCAUGUUUGAAAAGAAUUUUAACACACCGAUCUCAUUUUAAAUGAUCAUAUCUUCAAAGGUAUUACGGACAUCUUUAAAGGUAUUAUGGACACACCUUUAGUGGCUCCAGAAUGCGAACCAGACYUUCUGCCUCCAUGCCAAGUUCCUUUCCAUGAAUCUUUUAAACGGAAGAGAAUGCCUGAAGCAAGGGCUGUCAUAAUAUCAGCUGAACGAGGGACAGGCAGCCAGAGGACAUGUGUCAUUAGCAUCAGCUUUUCUGGGGGAUGCCUGCUGUUCAUUAUGUGUGGACACGAUUAGGCUCCACAGGGACCAUGAGCAGGAAAGAGCAAUCACAGGCUUCCCAAGCGAGUCUGUCUUUCCAAACAAAUCUACAGAACCACUCUGUUCACAGGAAGACUUCCAUUAUASGUUUAUUGACUUUUGGGUGGAUGAAAUGAGUUCAAGGAAUGAUUACUAAAAAUAGCAAAAAAGAAAAUUAAGAUGCAGUUUCUGAUUAGUUGCCAGGAUGAAUUAUUGGCCAGAGGAAAUUAUUAACUGAUUUUAAAAAGAACAAACCUUUGUGAUACUGUAAAAUGCAAUUUAUAAACUGCUAUUAUGGUUUAGUAAGUAAUGUAUUCCUUUCAUCUGAGCCUUCAUGUCAUUAUGGGGUAUUCUUUUUGACAACGGAUGGUCCUAAAAGGUAAUGUGUUGAAAUAUAGUGGACAUAUAACUCAAAUGUGCAAAAUGAUAGUUGUAGGCAAAAAUUACCUUUAAAUAUAAAAUGACUCUUUAAUUGGAGGGUAAGCUGAACCAAAAUUUUCUGAUAGGUAAACAUUACCCUUUGUUAGCUGCAUAUUCUGUGCCAAUGUACUAAGCAAACAAAAGAGGAAAAAAAAACAUUUGGAAAAAAAUCAUCAAAUUAUCACUGGGUAACUUGAGCUGGUUUCUUUUUCUCUUGAAACACAGAUAUAAGCUUCCUCACAGAAAGAAACAAUGAAAUGGUUAAAAGUGCACAAGAAAUUGUGACAUUGUAAAAUCAGCCUCUCUCCUUUGAAGCAAUUAAAGCCCUCAAAAUCACAUGUGUAUCUGAAGUGGUACAGAAAGUGCCAUUGGUUUUAAAUAAAUUCUUCUGAAAUGAGAAUGCUUAAUGAAAU
ensembl:lncRNA